GGUGUUCCCAAGAGCUCAGAACCAGCUGUGUGGCUGCCCCCUCCUCCCUCCCCUCCCCCUGCUGCUCCACCCCACCCCCCAGCUGUUCUGUAGAAAUGGUGCCUGUUUUGCUCACUGCCAUGCUGUCUGGGAAGCCCUUCCUCCGAGUUAGCCCAGGUGAUCCUUUCGGGGUCCUGUGUGGAUGGCAGGACCCUGGCAUUUCUCCCGCUGGUUAGAGGAGUUAACUAGGCUCAGGAAAGCUCAAGCCAAAGUGCCUAGGAGGACUGUGAUGGCCUGGGCUUGGGACAUGGGCCCAUCUCUGAACCAGUACCUGCUCUGGGGAUGGCGUGAUUGCUUGUCCAGAUUGAGGAGAGAGUGCAGGGCCAGGGUCCCACCACCUGAGCCACACAGGUGAGCACAGGUCAUUUUGGGAAAGGAGUUGGAUGGGUCUCUAAAGCACCGCCUGCUGACUUGUGCUGUUAAUUUGGGCUUCAUUUGCUCAUCUGGUGCUAAGCUGAAGUUUACUCUCACUUCGGAGCAUCCUUUUACGCUUUUUGUUCUUGUCUUCAGUGACACACUAAUGGGCUCACUUGUGAGCACAGUGUGGUUGAGAGCCUGCAGGCAAAGGGCCCUGUGUGUGAUUGGGAGAGAUAAUUUACUAGGUCCCCGUGUAUGAUCGUUCCUACUGUGUGCUGGUGGCCAUUCUGGUCAUGGAGAGCCGGCCUGGGGGACGGUGGGGGGGGGGGUGCUCAUCUCCCACCCUUUGCAUGUGAGUGGCUGGUGGUGGCUAAAAAUAGUCCCACUGACUCUGACGGCUGAGUGUUCAGCUGCCUGCCUCUCUGGCAAAGAGGAGACCCUUUUCUUCCGGGACGGGAUUCUUCCUACUUGUCUAGACAGUCUCUGUAGCUAGCACAUUCUGGGACAGCGCCUGCCUUACCCUGCUCACAGUAAGCCUGCUGUUUUUCUUUCCCUGCUUUUAAAUGUCUCAACGUGACAUGGUGUGGCUGCUCCAGUAGGUAUGAGUCACUGGGCGAGAACCAGGAAAGCAGCCCAAUCUUCCUUCCUUACCCAUUCUUGGAGAAAGGCAAAAAAAAAAAAAGAAAGAAAAAAAG